rfam:Triticum aestivum genome assembly, contig: Triticum_aestivum_CS42_TGACv1_scaffold_034522_1BL
AUUCUACUCCCUCCGUUGCACAAUACAUGCCUUCUAUUUGUCAAAAUAUAUAUGUAUCUAGACAUGUUUUACUAUAUAGGUACAUCCAUUUUUGGACAAAUGGAAGUCAAGUAUUUUGGAACGGAGGGAGUACACA